UACAGAGGGUGCGAGCGUUGUCCGGAAUCACUGGGCGUAGAGGGCGCGUAGGCGGCUUGAUAAGGUUGCGGUGAAAGCCCGGGGCUCAACCCCGGGUCGGCCGUGGCAACUGUCGAGCUGGAGCACUGUAGAGGCAGGUGGAAUUCCGGGUGUAGCGGUGGAAUGCGUAGAGAUCCGGAAGAACACCGGUGGCGAAGGCGGCCUGCUGGGCAGUGGCUGACGCUGAGGCGCGACAGCGUGGGGAGCAAAACGG
rnacentral:rRNA from 1 species